rnacentral:misc_RNA from 1 species
GAAAUGCGAUAAGUAAUGUGAAUUGCAGAAUUCAGUGAAUCAUCGAAUCUUUGAAUGCACCUUUCGCUCCUUGGUAUUCCUUGGAGCAUGCCUGUUUGAGUAUCAUGAAAUCUUCAAAGUAAAUCUUUUGUUAACUCAAUUGGUUUCUACUUUGGUAUUGGAGGUCUUUGCAGCUUCACACCUGCUCCUCUUUGUUCAUUAGCUGGAUCUCAGUGUUAUGCUUGGUUCCACUCGGCGUGAUAAGUUAUCUAUCGCUGAGGACACUGUAAAAGGUGGCCAAGGUAAAUGCAGAUGAACCGCUUCUAAUAGUCCAUUGACUUGGACAAUACUUUUAUGAUCUGAUCUCAAAUCAGGUAGGACUACCCGCUGAACUUAAGC